AGGACGAACGCUGGCGGCGUGCUUCAUACAUGCAAGUCGAACGAGAAAUCUACUUCGGUAGAUGGAAAGUGGCGGACGGGUGAGUAAUAUGUAGAGAAUCUGCCCUAGAGAGGGGGACAACCGUUGGAAACGACAGCUAAUACCCCAUAUGAGCGUACCUGAAAUGGUAUUCUUGAAAACUCCGGUGCUCUGGGAUGAGUCUGCAUCUGAUUAGCUAGUUGGGGGUGUAAUGGACCACCAAGGCGACGAUCAGUAGCUGGUUUGAGAGGAUGAUCAGCCACAAUGGGACUGAGACACGGCCCAUACUCCUACGGGAGGCAGCAGUAGGGAAUUUUGCGCAAUGGGCGAAAGCCUGACGCAAGCAACGCCGCGUGAUCGAGACGCUUUUCGGAGUGUAAAGAUCUGUCACAGGGGACGAACGAUGACGGUACCCUGAGAGGAAGCACCGGCUAACUCCGUGCCAGCAGCCGC
rnacentral:rRNA from 1 species